rnacentral:rRNA from 1 species
CCUACGGGUGGCUGCAGUCGAGAAUUAUUCACAAUGGGGGAAACCCUGAUGGUGCGACGCCGCGUGGAGGAAUGAAGUUCCUCGGAUUGUAAACUCCUGUCGUGUGGGGGCAAAUUCAAAAGAUAGUACCACAAGAGGGAGAGACGGCUAACACUGUGCGACCAACCGCGGUAAUACAGCGGUCUCACGCGUUGUUCGGGAGGACUGGGCGUAAAGCGUGCGUAGGCUGUGUUGUAAGUGGGGUGUGAAAAGUGCGGGAUCAAACCGCGGCGGGCACAUGAUACUGCGAGACUAGAGGGGUCGAGGGGGAACCGGAAUGCUCGGUGUAGCAGUGAAAUGCGUAGAUAUCGAGAGGAACACUCGUGGCGAAGGCGGGUUCCUGGACAUUAACUGACGCUGAGGCACGAAGGCCAGGGGAGCGAAAGGGAUUAGAUACCCGGGUAGUC